AGCGAACGCUGGCGGCAGGCUUAACACAUGCAAGUCGAACGGGCACUUCGGUGCUAGUGGCAGACGGGUGAGUAACACGUGGGAACGUACCUUUCGGUUCGGAAUAAUACAGGGAAACUUGUACUAAUACCGGAUACGCCCUUUGGGGGUAAGAUUUAUCGCCGAUUGAUCGGCCCGCGUCUGAUUAGCUAGUUGGUGAGGUAAUGGCUCACCAAGGCGACGAUCAGUAGCUGGUCUGAGAGGAUGAUCAGCCACACUGGGACUGAGACACGGCCCAGACUCCUACGGGAGGCAGCAGUGGGGAAUAUUGGACAAUGGGCGCAAGCCUGAUCCAGCCAUGCCGCGUGAGUGAUGAAGGCCUUAGGGUUGUAAAGCUCUUUUGUCCGGGAAGAUAAUGACUGUACCGGAAGAAUAAGCCCCGGCUAACUUCGUG
rnacentral:rRNA from 1 species